rnacentral:rRNA from 1 species
GAAACGACUGCUAAGACUGGAUAGUAGACAAGAAGGCAUCUUCUUGUUUUUAAAAGACCUAUUAAUAGGUAUGCUUAGGGAGGAGCUUGCGUCACAUUAGUUAGUUGGUGGGGUAAAGGCCUACCAAGACUAUGAUGUGUAGCCGGGCUGAGAGGUUGAACGGCCACAUUGGGACUGAGACACGGCCCAAACUCCUACGGGAGGCAGCAGUAGGGAAUUUUCGGCAAUGGAGGAAACUCUGACCGAGCAACGCCGCGUGAACGAUGAAGUAUUUCGGUACGUAAAGUUCUUUUAUUAGGGAAGAAUAAAUGAUGGAAAAAUCAUUCUGACGGUACCUAAUGAAUAAGCCCCGGCUAACUAUGUGCCAGCAGCCGCGGUAAUACAUAGGGGGCAAGCGUUAUCCGGAAUUAUUGGGCGUAAAGGGUGCGUAGGCUGUUAAAUAAGUUUAUGGUCUAAGUGCAAUGCUCAACAUUGUGAUGCUAUAAAAACUGUUUAGCUAGAGUAAGAUAGAGGCAAGUGGAAUUCCAUGUGUAGUGGUAAAAUGCGUAAAUAUAUGGAGGAACACCAGUAGCGAAGGCGGCUUGCUGGGUCUUUACUGACGCUGAGGCACGAAAGCGUGGGGAGCAAACAGGAUUAGGUACCCUGGUAGUCCACGCCGUAAACGAUGAGUACUAAACGUUGGGUAAAACCAGUGUUGAAGUUAACACAUUAAGUACUCCGCCUGAGUUGUACGUACGCAAGUAUGAAACUUAAAGGAAUUGACGGGACUCCGCACAAGCGGUGGAUCAUGUUGUUUAAUUCGAAGGUACCCGAAAAACCUCACCAGGUCUUGACAUGCUUCUGCAAAGCUGUAGAAACACAGUGGAGGUUAUCAGUUGCACAGGCGGUGCAUGGUUGUCGUCAGCUCGUGUCGUGAGAUGUUGGGUUAAGUCCCGCAACGAGCGCAACCCUUAUUGUUAGUUGCCAGCACGUAAUGGUGGGGACCUUAGCAAGACUGCCAGUGAUAAAUUGGAGGAAGGUGGGGACGACGUCAAAUCAUCAUGCCCCUUAUGACCUGGCUACAAACGUGAUACAAUGGCUGUUACAAAGGGUAGCUGAAACGCAAGUUUUUGGCGAAUCUCAAAAAAACAGUCUCAGUUCGGAUUGAAGUCUGCAACUCGACUUCAUGAAGUUGGAAUCGCUAGUAAUCGCGAAUCAGCAUGUCGCGGUGAAUACGUUCGCGGGGUUUGUACACACCGCCCGUCA